rnacentral:rRNA from 1 species
AAGUUUAAAUGAUGUAGAAGAAUGGAGCUGGAAAGCUCAGCCGAAGAAGGUGAAAGCCCUGUAAUCGAAACCUUGCAUACACGGGACUGUAUCCAGAGUACCACGAGACACGUGAAACCUUGUGGGAAGCAGGGGGGACCACCCUCCAAGCCAAAAUACUGAUAUCGACCGAUAGCGCAUAGUACCGUGAGGGAAAGGUGAAAAGAACCCCUGGCGGGGAGUGAAAGAGAACCUGAAACCGUAUGUCUACAAACAGUCGAAGUCUGUAUAUAUAUCAGGACGACGGCGUGCCUAUUGAAGAAUGAACCGACGAGUUACUGUUGCUAGCGAGGUUAAGUGGAAAACACGGAGACGCAGCGAAAGCGAGUCUGAACAGGGAGUUCAGUUAGUAGACCCGAAACCGUAGUGAUCUAUCCAUGGCCAGGUUGAAGCACAGGUAAAAUUGUGUGGAGGACCGAACUCGUGAGCGUUGAAAAGCUUUGGGAUGAGUUGUGGAUAGGGGUGAAAUGCCAAUCGAACGCGGAGAUAGCUGGUUCUCCCCGAAAUAGCUUUAGGGCUAGCCUCGAGGUUGAGAGUAUAGGCGGUAGAGCACUGAUCGGGCUAGGGGCCAUACCGGUUACCGAACCUAGUCAAACUACGAAUGGCUAUACUUAUACUCGGGAGUCAGACAGUGAAUGAUAAGGUCCAUUGUCAAGAGGGAAACAGCCCAGAACACCGACUAAGGUCCCAAAUGUUACACUAAGUGGCGAAGGAUGUGGAAUUUCCAAAACAACCAGGAUGUUGGCUUAGAAGCAGCCACCAUUUAAAGAGUGCGUAAUAGCUCACUGGUCGAGAGACUCUGCGCCGAAAAUGUCCGGGGCUAAAGUGUAAAACCGAAGUCGUGUCAUAUGCAGCAAUGUAUAUGGGUAGGGGAGCGUUCUCAUUGGGUUGAAGCAGUACCGUAAGGAGUUGUGGACUGAUGAGAAGUGAGAAUGUCGGUAUGAGUAGCGAAAAGAAUGGUGAGAAUCCAUUCCACCGAAAGCCUAAGGGUUCCUGAGCAACGAUCGUCGUCUCAGGGUAAGUCGGGACCUAAGCCGAGGCGGAAAAGCGUAGGCGAUGGACAACAGGUUGAAAUUCCUGUACCGGUGUGAAUCGUUUGAUCGAUGGAGUGACACAGUAAGGUAGGUCAGCACGCGAUUGGAAGUGCGUGUUUAAGCAUGUAGGUUGAGCUAUAGGCAAAUCCGUAGCUCUAAAAGCUGAGAUGUGAUGACGAGCUGUUUACAGCGAAGUGAUUGAUCCUACACUGUCGAGAAAAGCUUCUAGGUAGAGACACAUCGCCCGUACCAAAACCGACACAGGUAGGCGGGGAGAGAAUCCUAAGGUGCGCGGGAAAACCCUCGUUAAGGAACUCGGCAAAAUGCCUCCGUAACUUCGGGAAAAGGAGGACUCAUGUAGUGUGAAGGGCAGUAACGCGUGGAGCAUGAAUGAGUGGCACAAGAGAGGCGCAAGCGACUGUUUACCACAAACACAGGUGCCUGCUAAAGCGAAAGCUGAUGUAUAGGUGCUGACACCUGCCCGGUGCUGGAAGGUUAAGAGGAGGGGUUAGACUUCGGUCGAAGCUCUGAAUUGAAGCCCCAGUAAACGGCGGCCGUAACUAUAACGGUCCUAAGGUAGCGAAAUUCCUUGUCGGGUAAGUUCC